rnacentral:lncRNA from 1 species
AUGAUGAUCCACCAGCCAGCUGCAUCUCUUGAGCUGGAAAAGUUGCAGCAGCAGCAGAGGACAUUAGCAGACCCGUGUGAUGUGCAGCUGAAGCAGAGAGGAUGUGUAAAGCUGGUAGAACGGGUAGAAGAGAGGAAGAAUGAGUUAGCCUUUUUCACUCAUGUGGGUGGGAGAAAGACAGGCAGUCAAACAUUCGGCAAGGAUUCCAGGCAGUGUGAAGGUGGAGCACUGGGACCCAGAGGUAUUGAGCUGCCAAAGGUCACAGAGGUUGCAUUGAAGUUGAGAGCUGAACUUGUGCUCCUAUGUCCUGAUCAAGCAGAGCUCCAAGAUGGAGUUUAAAACUAUGCACAGAAGGACCUGCUGCAGAGACGAGCAGGGCCAAGCCAUGGAGACCUCACUACAACCUACAGUAGGAGAGUUUCACUUGCAGUGCUUGCAGGUGUGUUGGUUUGUGUUGGUUUGGUACAUGUAGACAGUUAUUACGACUUCUCCAUCUUGGGGGGAGCCUGCAGAUGCUGACUCUUCAACUGAACAACUUUCCAUCAUCCUUAAAAAGAACACUGGAAAAUGGAUUUCUCCAUGCCACAGAAUGGGCACCCCAAAUUAGCAACCACUUUUCAGC